rnacentral:rRNA from 1 species
GCGUUCGGGUGAACUAUGGUUAAGGAACUCGGCAAAAUGCCCCCGUAACUUCGGGAGAAGGCUUCCCCGGCCC